UUCACCGGCGGGGCCCCGGGUUCGCCGACAGGGCCCGGCCCUCCUAACACCGGCAGCGGGCGCCAGGGGAGCGCCUCCUCCGGCCGGCGGGGGAUUGGCGCCGGGAGGGGCACCCGGGAAGCCGCCCUCACGCUGCGGAGGAGCGGCCGGACUGGGCGCUGCAGGAGCCGGUCCGGAGCCCCGCCGUGCGCUGGUGGCGGGGAGGGGGUCACGGCCACUCACGCGCAAUGGAAGCCCUCAACCGCACGAGCAGGGAGUGCCCAUGGAAAAUAGGCUAACGCAGCCCGUGCCGCUGCUCGUAUCUACAGCCACAGGGGGACCUCGAAAGACAAAACCCGCGGACACAAAGCCAUGGGCAGCUGCUGUUCAUAUCGCUGAAGCUUCCUCCUAACUAGGGCGCAGUGUGAACCAGAUGGAGAUGAUAAGGGACUCACUGCUGUGGAAAGGGUCCAUGUUCUCACAAGAGGAUCACAGCCAGUGCCUCCAUCAGAAUCCCCUUGUGUACAACCUAUUUGCUGAAAAGACAAAGACCUUGAAUAACUUCCUCAUGGCCAACAAGUCUAAGGAAAACGUAGAUGACUCAGAAUGCUGUAAGGACAACUACAAAAACUACAUACAGCAAGCACUGAGAAACAAUGGCUGCUUCUCCUGGGGAGUGGAUCAAGUCAUCAGAUCUACAGAAAAAGAGGACACUGUACUCCCACAAACUGAGAAUUUGGCUGCUGAAUGGAUGGACAGAGCUGAAGCUUGGGAUAGAGCUUCCCUCCUACAAGGAAAGCCUCCCCAGCAGCUCACUCCUGGGAUGCCCACACCUGCUCCAAACCAAGGCUGGCAGAAGAUCUCAUGGCUGGAGCUUUUGGGAACGAGUGAAUCAGAGAUCUUGAUUUUCCCCUCAUUUCAGACAUUUCAGCCUGUGCUGGUCACCAUGCCACAGUCUCAGCAACCUCCUGAAUGCAUGGACAAUUAUUAA
rnacentral:lncRNA from 1 species